GCGGCCCCGCCCUCGGGCCCCGGGGAGCGGCUGGAGGCCCAGGAGAAGGUGCACGUCAUCUGGAACCGGCUGAAGCUGCUCCUCAGGGAGGUGAACGUCGACCUGGAGGAGCUGGAGAGGAGGCUGGAGGAGGCCGGCCAGGGGAAGCAGGAGUCGCUGUCCCACGUGAACAAAGCCCACCUGUCGGGAACCCCUCGUCCCGUCUCCCUAGGGUCCGUCCCCAACCGGCGACGACUGCCCGAGCAAAUCCCUCGUCACCGCUGGCUGCGCUUCCUCCCGUUCUGACCGGACGGGCGGCCUCUGGACCUCCUCCUCCCCUCCGGCGGGCCCCUCCUUCCUGCUCCGCGUGCUGCGUGCGGCGCUGCCGGUUCACCUCCUCCUGCUGCUGAUCCUCGGCCUCGCCUGCCUCGUGCCCAUGAGCCAGGAGGACUACAGCUGCCACCACGCCAACAACUUCGCCCGCUCCUUCCAUCCCAUGCUGAGCUACACCAACGGACCUCCGCCUAUAUGAGGCGCCUCCCCCAUCAAGGACCCCGAAGUCACCUGUACCGGGACCACACCCCCUCUAUGAGGACCGCCCCCCACGACCAUAUAUGGACCAGACAUCCGCCCAGUCCAUCGUGGCCUCUGUUCCGUGUGAGGACCGGACAGCCGCCCGUGUACGGGCAGAACUCUCCGCCCGUAUAAGGACUGUCCCUCCGCAGCUAGCUACCAGCUUUGCCAAGGACUCCGACACUCUGACUAGUAUGAAUGUUCCCUGUUCUUUCCCUGCAGGACCCCCGACUCCCACUCUCCCGACCCCAACUCCACGACCCCACCUCCCCUCCACCCCCACGCUGGGAGCAUAUGAAAUCCGAUGGAGUGUCUCCACCAGUAACACAAUGAGAACCAGUCCAUUAGAGCGUUCUGGGGCCAGUUGACUGAGGCCCUAGCGUCUCCAGGGUGAAGGGACUCAAGCCUCCUCCAUCCGAAUAAUAGCAGUUGUUUUUUUAUUCUUUCUUCGGAAAAAUGAAGUAUAUUAUUUUUGACGUAUUUUUUAUUUCUACGGUUGAAUCACAGAGCACUAUUUAUAUACAACCGCGUGCUGGGAGCCAAAGUCCACGGCGCUGUUCGUACUUCAGUGCUGCUACUAUUUAUUUUUUUCCGUUCGAUUGGAUUUGAAGAUUUGUUUGAUUUCACGAGGACACAGCACAGACUGUGGGAGAUUCUACCUGUAAAUCGUAGUUUAGGUAAAGUAUCAAACAUUCAUCUCUUUGAAGAGUUUCCAAAAUGAGAACUUUUCAAAAUUGACAUCAUGGUAAAAUCUUGCGAUUUUGAACACCGAGUGAUCCAAUGCCUUCGGAAUCGGCCGACGAUUUCUGAUGGACGCACUUUGUAUUUAAAAGAAAUGGCUGCCGUUAUUUUAUUUUGUUCCCGAGAUUUACAAAACUUUCGGAGACAAACUCAUCAUGGAAGGUAGCCGAUAGCUGAACCCUAACGCACUGAAACGAGCGCCUGAUUAUGGUUCCUCACCGAAGCCGUCCAGUCUUCCCCCAAGACAGCCAAAUGCUGGUGUCCCUGUUUUGAUCUCCUUUUAUAUCCAUUCUAGUAUUUCAAUAUUUAAUCACGUAGGGCAAACCUCGACACGCAGGAUGAGAUUCCGUUUAUUUUAUUUCUAUCGGUGAUUCAAAUGCCCCGCAAAACGCGGGCAGUUAUUUUUUUACCUUUUUAGUUCGAGCAUGCACUUCUGCAAGUCCUUUCUGCUUUUUAAGUUCGCCAACCAAUCACGGUCUGUGUACGGAGACGGAGGUGCGGAGGCGGGCGAAAAACAAUGCUUGGUGCUUUGUUACCGUGAGGACGACACCUCUGACGCGAUGGAGAUAUCUAGUCUGCGCUGUUUGAAACUGUAAAAAGAAACAUAAAAAAAAAAAAAGCCCGGACAUGGAAAUGGUUAUUUAUGUAUGUACAGUUUGCUAAUGCUGAAAUCAUGAAGAAUGUUCUUUACAUAUAGUAAAAAAAUAUAUAAAAUACACGUUUUCAGACUUGUUUUUGGCUGAGGAGACUAUUUCGAAUGAGGUAGCGAAACAAGGUCUGCAACAAUUUCACUAUUAGGACCUUUAUUUUAAUAAACAGUAAACAACACUCAUGUGGGAUCAACGGACACUAAAGUAGGUUUCUCUUUACACUCGCAGCCAAAGUGACUUCACUUUGGCCGUGAGUGAUUGCUAGCCGCAUCAAACGGCUAGCAAGGCACAGUAGUCAAAACAGCAAACUGGCACAGAUAUUGGGGACCAACAUGAAACUCAGACAAGCAACUUCAAAAAGAUGACCAAUUAUCAUUCAAUGGUGCAC
ensembl:lncRNA